CAAUAUCUGGGGCACCGGGUAAGGAGUGGACAGCAAAAGCCCGAACCAGCAAAAAUCAAAGCACUAGCUAAGUGGCAUACCCCCGGACAAAAACCCAAGUGUUAGCCUUCCUGGGUACCGCAGGGUACUACCGAAAAUUCAGACCCAAUUAUAGCGCCCUGGCCAAACCCCUGACUGACUUGACCAGCAAAAACCUUCCUCGACAGGUCAUCUGGGCCCCAGAGUGUGAUCAGGCAUUCCAACAACUCAAGACUGCUUUAACCAAUGCACCUGUACUUGCU